rnacentral:rRNA from 1 species
GAUGAACGCUGGCGGCGUGCCUAACACAUGCAAGUCGAACGGGAAUCUUCGGAUUCUAGUGGCGGACGGGUGAGUAACGCGUAGGAAUCUAACUUCAGGACGGGGACAACAGUUGGAAACGACUGCUAAUACCCGAUAUGCCGCAAGGUGAAACCUAAUUGGCCUGAAGAAGAGCUUGCGUCUGAUUAGCUAGUUGGUGGGGUAAAAGCCUACCAAGGCGACGAUCAGUAGCUGGUCUGAGAGGAUGAGCAGCCACACUGGGACUGAGACACGGCCCAGACUCCUACGGGAGGCAGCAGUGGGGAAUUUUCCGCAAUGGGCGAAAGCCUGACGGAGCAACGCCGCGUGAGGGAGGAAGGUCUUUGGAUUGUAACCUCUUUUCUCAAGGAAGAAGUUCUGACGGUACUUGAGGAAUCAGCCUCGGCUAACUCCGUGCCAGCCGCCGCGGUAAUAC